rnacentral:rRNA from 1 species
UGGGGAAUAUUGGACAAUGGGCGGAAGCCUGAUCCAGCAACGCCGCGUGAGGGAUGACGGCCUUCGGGUUGUAAACCUCUUUCAGUACCGACGAAGCGCAAGUGACGGUAGGUACAGAAGAAGCACCGGCCAACUACGUGCCAGCAGCCGCGGUAAUACGUAGGGUGCGAGCGUUGUCCGGAAUUAUUGGGCGUAAAGGGCUCGUAGGCGGUUUGUCGCGUCGGGAGUGAAAACGCCGUGCUUAACACG